rnacentral:rRNA from 1 species
GAUGAACGCUGGCGGCGUGCUUGAUACAUGCAAGUCGAACGGAGAGUGUAGCAAUAUACUUUUAGUGGCGAACGGGUGAGUAACGCGUUGGUGACCUGCCCCGAAGCGAGGGAUAACAGUUCGAAAGAACUGCUAAUACCUCAUGUGAUCACCGGUUUUAGAAUCUGGUGAUUAAAGGUGAAAAUCACUUCGGGAGGGGCCUGCGUCCCAUCAGCUAGUUGGUAAGGUAAUGGCUUACCAAGGCGAUGACGGGUAGGGGACCUGAGAGGGUGGCCCCCACAAUGGAACUGAAACACGGUCCAUACACCUACGGGUGGCAGCAGUAGGGAAUAUUGCAAAUGGGCGAAAGCCUGAUGUAGCAACGCCGCGUGUGCGAUGAAGGUCUUCGGAUUGUAAAGCACUUUUUGGAGGGAUGAGGAAGGACGGUACUCUCAGAAUAAGUCUCGGCUAACUACGUG